UACGUAGGGGGCGAGCGUUAUCCGGAUUCACUGGGUGUAAAGGGAGCGUAGACGGCCAUGCAAGCCAGGGGUGAAAGCCCGGGGCCCAACCCCGGGACUGCCCUUGGAACUGCAUGGCUGGAGUGCGGGAGGGGCAGGCGGAAUUCCUGGUGUAGCGGUGAAAUGCGUAGAUAUUAGGAGGAACACCAGUGGCGAAGGCGGCUUACUGGACGGCAACUGACGCUGAGGCUCGAAAGCGUGGGGAGCAAACAGG
rnacentral:rRNA from 1 species